rnacentral:rRNA from 1 species
GACAGAGGGUGCAAACGUUGUUCGGAAUUACUGGGCGUAAAGGGCUCGUAGGCGGUUUGUCGCGUCGGGAGUGAAAUCCACUGGCUUAACUGGUGGCUUGCUUUCGAUACGGGCAGACUGGAGGUAUGCAGGGGAGAACGGAAUUCCUGGUGUAGCGGUGAAAUGCGCAGAUAUCAGGAGGAACACCGGUGGCGAAGGCGGUUCUCUGGGCAUGUCCUGACGCUGAGGAGCGAAAGUGUGGGGAGCGAACAGG